rnacentral:rRNA from 1 species
GCGUUAUCCGGAUUCACUGGGUUUAAAGGGUGCGUAGGUGGGUUGGUAAGUCAGUGGUGAAAUCUCCGUGCUUAACAUGGAAACUGCCAUUGAUACUACUGAUCUUGAAUUUUCAGGAGGUAAGCGGAAUAUGUCAUGUAGCGGUGAAAUGCUUAGAUAUGACAUAGAACACCAAUUGCGAAGGCAGCUUACUACAGGAAUAUUGACACUGAUGCACGAAAGCGUG